CCUACGGGAGGCAGCAGUCGAGAAUCUUUCACAAUGGGGGAAACCCUGAAGCAGCGACGCCGCGUGGGGGAUUGAAGGUCUUCGGAUUGUAAACUUCUUUUGUUAGAGAAGAUAACGACGGUAUCGAACGAAUAAGCACCGGCUAACUCCGUGCCAACAGCUGCGGUAAUACGAAGGGAGCGAGCGUUGUCGGGAAUUACGGGGUGUAAAGGGAGCGUAGGGGGGAAUGAAAGUUGGGGGGAAAUUCUACCGGCUAAACCGGUAGCUGCACUCGAAACUGCAGUUCUUGAGUGAAGUAGAGGUAGGCGGAAUUCGUGGUGUAGCGGUGAAAUGCGUAGAUAUUAGGAAGAACACCGGUGGCGAAGGCGGCCUGCUGGGCUUUGACUGACGCUGAGGCUCGAAAGUGUGGGGAGCAAACAGGAUUAGAUACCCUAGUAGUC
rnacentral:rRNA from 1 species